rnacentral:rRNA from 1 species
UGGUCUAGGUAUAGCAUUAUACCGUGAAACUGCGAAUGGCUCAUUAAAUCAGUUAUCGUUUAUUUGAUAGUACUUUACUACUUGGAUAACCGUGGUAAUUCUAGAGCUAAUACAUGCUAAAAACCCCGACUUCGGGAGGGGUGUAUUUAUUAGAUAAAAAACCAACGCCCUCACGGGCUCCUUGGUGAUUCAUGAUAACUUAACGGAUCGCAUGGCCUUGCGCCGGCGACGGUUCAUUCAAAUUUCUGCCCUAUCAACUUUCGAUUGUAGGGUAUUGGCCUACAAUGGUAUUAACGGGUAACGGGGAGUUAGGGCUCGACUCCGGAGAGGGAGCCUGAGAAACGGCUACCACAUCCAAGGAAGGCAGCAGGCGCGCAAAUUACCCAAUCCCGACACGGGGAGGUAGUGACAAUAAAUACUGAUACGGGGCUCUUAUGGGUCUCGUAAUUGGAAUGAGUACAAUUUAAAUACCUUAACGAGGAACAAUUGGAGGGCAAGUCUGGUGGAAACGCGGUGUUUUCCAGAAACGCUGACGCCAGACAGAGUGGGGGGGCUCCCUUUUCCCAAGAGAGCCGCCCCCGCUAGUCGAGCACCUGCAAGCUUGGUAGGGAGGUGCCGGCGAGGUAACCUGGUACGGGGGAGUCUUGCACUGACGAUCCCGUGGUGAGCUCCUUGAGGGCCACCGUAACGCGCGCAAAGGUACCGGCCAGAGGUUUCUGGCUCGAGGGACGCGCUCUUUCCCGUGCGAAAGCACGUCCCCCCGCGAAGCACCUACCUUGCAACGUGUGGGGAGCGCCCAAAGGGGUGUCGGAAGGCCCGUACGCGCGCGGCGUCGGGGGUGGUGGGUGCCCCUCCGCGCGGGCGUACGGCCCUGAACGAGGCCAGCAGCCGCGGUAAUUCCAGCUCCAAUAGCGUAUAUUAAAGUUGUUGCAGUUAAAAAGCUCGUAGUUGAACCUUUGGUCUGGCUGGCCGGUCCGCCUCACCGCGUGCAC